GGGUGCGAUCAUACUAGCGUUAAUGCACAGGAUCCCAUCAGAACUCUGCAGUUAAGCGCACUUGGGCUAGAGUAGUACUGGGAUGGGUGAUCUCCCGGGAAUUCCUAGUGUUGCACCCU
rnacentral:rRNA from 1 species